rnacentral:tRNA from 2 species
GCGAGAAUGGCGGAAUUGGCAGACGCGCACGGUUCAGGUCCGUGUGAAAGCAAUUUCAUGCAGGUUCAAGUCCUGUUUCUCGCACCA